rnacentral:lncRNA from 1 species
AAGAGCUGAUUUUUUGUAUGUAGACCCUUGUGGACAUAUGGAGGGCCAUGGAAAAGAGUUUCACCCAAAGAAUCAGAAAUAAACUGAUUUUUUACCAAACCCUAGUUUUAGGGCAAAAUGAUCGGGAACUGAUUGCACUAUUUGCCAAUGGAUCUUUCUGAGAUAAUUGUGAGUCUUCCUAGGCCAAGAUGCCUCUCCAAUCAUGACAUGGAUGAGCCCCUCUACUUCCAACCAAACAUUGCCUGUUGC